CUGAGUUGCAAAACUCCCACCAUUGUGAACCUACCUAGACUGUUGCUUCGGCGGGGGGGCACUGCCCUGCUUUCCUCUGGGAAGCACCCGCCGGAGGCAUUUAAACUCUGUAUUAUUGGCUUCUCUGAGUAACUUAUUUAAAUAAGUCA
rnacentral:misc_RNA from 1 species